rnacentral:rRNA from 1 species
UACCUAGGCUAGAAUGCGCGUGACCGGUCCAGAGAUGGACCUUUCCUUCGGGACACAAAGCAAGGUGCUGCAUGGCCGUCGUCAGCUCGUGCCGUGAGGUGUUGGGUUAAGUCCCGCAACGAGCGCAACCCCUAUCUUUAGUUGCCAGCAUGUUAUGAUGGGGACUCUAAAGAGACUGCCUGCGCAAGCAGUGAGGAAGGUGGGGAUGACGUCAGGUCAUCAUGGCCCUUACGCCUAGGGCUACACACGUGCUACAAUGGGCGGUACAGCGGGUUGCUACUUAGUGAUAAGAUGCCAAUCUCCAAAAGCCGCUCUCAGUUCGGAUCGAAGUCUGCAACUCGACUUCGUGAAGCUGGAAUCGCUAGUAAUCGCGUAUCAGCAAUGACGCGGUGAAUACGUUCCCGGGCCUUGUACACACCGCCCGUCAAGCCAUGGAAGUCAGGAGACCUGAAGACAGUGACCGUUAAAGGAGCUGUUUAGGGUAAAACUGGUAAC